rnacentral:rRNA from 1 species
UACGAAGGGGGCUAGCGUUGUUCGGAAUUACUGGGCGUAAAGCGCAUGUAGGCGGGUCGUUAAGUCGGGGGUGAAAGCCCAGAGCUCAACUCUGGAACUGCCUUCGAUACUGGCGACCUGGACCCAAGGAGAGGCGAGUGGAAUUGCGAGUGUAGAGGUGAAAUUCGUAGAUAUUCGCAGGAGCACCAGUGGCGAAGGCGACUCGCUGGACUUGUGGUGACGCUGAGAUGCGAAAGCGUGGGGAGCACACAGG